GCCUCAGUGGUCGUAGUGGUAGAGCACGCGUCCCCGGAUAGGAUGAAACGUGGGUUCGAAUUCCGCCUGAGGCC